rnacentral:rRNA from 1 species
UGCCAGCAGCCGCGGUAAGACGUAGGGGGCCAGCGUUGCUCGGAAUUACUGGGCGUAAAGGGUUCGUAGGCGGUGCGGCAAGUCGGAAGUGAAAUCUCUGGGCUUAACUCAGAGGCUGCUUCCGAAACUGCCGUGCUUGAGUGCGGGAGAGGCGAGUGGAAUUACAGGUGUAGCGGUGAAAUGCGUAGAUAUCUGUAGGAACACCCGUGGCGAAGGCGGCUCGCUGGACCGCAACUGACGCUGAGGAACGAAAGCUAGGGGAGCAAACAGGAUUAGAUACCCUGGUAGUCCUAGCCCUAAACGAUCAGGACUUGGGGUGCAUCCCGUUGGGGGUGCGUCCCGUAGCUAACGCGUUAAGUCCUGCGCCUGGGGAGUACGGCCGCAAGGCUGAAACUCAAAGGAAUUGACGGGGGCCCGCACAAG